rnacentral:rRNA from 1 species
GAUGAACGCUGGCGGCGUGCCUAAUACAUGCAAGUCGAGCGAACAGAUAAGGAGCUUGCUCCUUUGACGUUAGCGGCGGACGGGUGAGUAACACGUGGGUAACCUACCUAUAAGACUGGAAUAACUCCGGGAAACCGGGGCUAAUGCAGGAUAACAUGUUGAAUCGCAUGGUUCUACAGUGAAAGGCGGCUUUGCUGUCACUUAUAGAUGGACCCGCGCCGUAUUAGCUAGUUGGUGAGGUAACGGCUCACCAAGGCAACGAUACGUAGCCGACCUGAGAGGGUGAUCGGCCACACUGGAACUGAGACACGGUCCAGACUCCUACGGGAGGCAGCAGUAGGGAAUCUUCCGCAAAGGGCGAAAGCCUGACGGAGCAACGCCGCGUGAGUGAUGAAGGUCUUCGGAUCGUAAAACUCUGUUAUUAGGGAAGAACAAAUGCGUAAGUAACUGUGCGCGUCUUGACGGUACCUAAUCAGAAAGCCACGGCUAACUACGUG